rnacentral:rRNA from 1 species
GAUGCUGGCGUAAUGGUCGCCGGCGACCCGUCUUGUAACACGGACCAAGGAGUCUAACAUCUAUGCGAGUGUUUGGGUGUCAAGCCCGAGCGCGUAAUGAAAGUGAACGGAGGUGGGAACCCGCAAGGGUGCACCAUCGACCGAUCCUGAUGUCUUCGGAAGGAUUUGAGUAAGAGCAUGGCUGUUGGGACCCGAAAGAUGGUGAACUAUGCUUGAAUAGGGUGAAGCCAGAGGAAACUCUGGUGG